rnacentral:rRNA from 1 species
GUACCGAUAAAGGGUGAAAUCAAUUUUUUGGUAUACAAAAAUCUAAUAUUUUUAGUUGAAAUUGAAGCUAUUAAAAUAAAGAAAUGAACCAGGAUUAGAUACCCUGUUACACUUUAUGUAAAUUAUAACAUUACCUGGGUAUUAAACAGUUAUUGUCUUGAAACUCAAAGGAUUUGGCGGUAAUUUAGUCUAUUUAGAGGAACCUGUCCUGUAAUCGAUAGUCCACGAAAAAUCUUACUUUGUCUGGUAGAAAACAGUUUGUAUACCGUCAUUAUUAGAUAACUUUAAUAAAAUAUAAAGUUGUUGCAAGAGUUUAGCUAAUAUAUUAGAUCAAGGUGCAGCUUAUGAUAAAGGAAGAGAUGGGUUACAAUAUGACCAAUAUAAACGGAUUAUUACCUGAAUACUUGUUGCCGAAGGUGGAUUCCAAAGUAAAAAGAAUUUAAUUAGAUCUUUUGACCCUAGCUCUACCAUAUUUACACAUACCCCCCCGCUCUCGUUAAAUAAAGA